CUAACCCCGUACAUAAAUGUGAACACGGAAUUACGGAAGCAGGCUGCUAACAAAUUCGAAGAACAAUUCUUUAAGGAUCUAAAUAAUUCGGUGUUCGGUAAGACGAUUGAAAACAUGCGGAAAAGAUUUAAUUUGGAACUCGUAUCGUGUCCCGUCAGAAUGCGAAAGCUCAUAAACCGUCCGACGUUCAAGUAUUGCACUACUUAUGGUGAGAAUCUCUCGGUGGUUAUCCAGCAUAACAGUGAAGUGGAUUUCUGUAAGCCCAUCUAUAUAGGAUUUUCCGUACUAGAACUCAGUAAAGUUUUAAUGUACGGAUUUCAUUAUGAUGUCAUGAAGCGACAUUACGGCGAUAAGAUUGAUUUGCUGUACACCAAUACUGACAAUCCAAAUCUUAUGCGGUUUAUGGAUACCUCGAAUUUACCGAACGACCACAAGUGCUAUUCGACUGCUAGGAAACGGAUUCCAGGCCUGUUCAAGAACGAGACCAAUGGCCGUACCGUUUACUAGUACAUAGAGCUGCGUGCUAAAUCAUACGCCUACGACGUGGAACAGGAAGUCUGCAUUCGCGCGAAAGGUGUUAUGAGGCACGUGACAAUAAACAUAAGCCAUUCUUGUUUGCCGACGAUGUCGACGAUGUAGAAUCGUACGAGUGCGACGAUGAAUUCGACGGUAACGUGGAGAAAAUGAUCGCAGCCGAUUCCGCACUGAAAGCUGUCACCCAAAUACAUCGAAUUGCCUCAACGCCUGCUGUGUCUCCGUCGACGGCGGUCACACCA